AUUCGCUAGUAAUCGCGCAUCAGCCAUGGCGCGGUGAAUACGUUCCCGGGCCUUGUACACACCGCCCGUCAAGCCAUGAAAGCCGAGGGUGCCUGAAGUCCGUGACCGCGAGGGUCGGCCUAGGGUAAAACUGGUGAUUGGGGCUAAGUCGUAACAAGGUACC
rnacentral:rRNA from 1 species